GCCCUGUCACAGUCAGACAGACCUGACUGAUGAGAGUUGGAAGAGUCCUAACUUGCCAUCACGGGAGCUCUGCCUGCCUACUCCUCGUCCCCAGCUCCGUCUAAGCAACAGAUUUGAGAUGCUGGAAAUUGAAGGGGAGUUCUACAAGGAAGUUCAAAAUAAAGUUACUCUGGAUGAUCUCACAUGCUCUAAACUUGCAUGGCACCAGGUGAUAACACCAAAAGAAGUAUUUUAAGAAUUUUCUUGUAAAACUGCAGGGUGGCGUUCCAUCCCUUAGAUCAUUUCUGUGGCCCUACUCAGGAUGUGCUCCAACAGAUCUAUGUCUCUCCUGCUUUGAGGACUCUACAUCUGAACACAAUACCCCUCACCAGUGAGGCCAGAUGAAAAACUGAGAUGUCCUUGUAUCUGUGCAGAACUGGUUAGGAACAACUAGAAACAUCAGUGUGUUAUCAAUAUUGUUUUUCUCCUGAAGCCAAAACAUAAUCAUACCAGACACUAUGAAAAAAAAAAUUGACUGUGUCCCAGCUGAAACCAGGACAGACUGUACAACAUAGAGGAUAAACUUAUUAAUGUACAUAAAUAUCUGAAGAAACAGUGCAAAAAGGACACAGCCAGGCUGUUUCAGUGUUGCCCAGUACCAGGAUAAGAGGCAAUGGAUGCAAAAUGGGACACAGGAGAUUCUAUCUGAACAUCAGGAAACACUUUAAGGGUAGUUGAAGACUGGAAAAGAUUGCUCAGACAGUGUGGAGUCUCUUUGCAUGCAAAUAUUUUGAAGCUCUCUGAGCACAGUCCUAGGCGAUCCACUCUGCUUGAGUAGGGUGGCUGGACCACAUGACCUUCAGAGGCCCUUUCCAACAUUAGUCAUUCUGUUUUUUUGAUUCUGUGAUUUAAUGUUUUAAUUGGUGAAAAAAAAAAAUGGGUGCUCUUGAUAGUUGUCGGCCAGAUGAAGAAACAUACAAACCUACAAGGACCAUGAUACAAUUAAGUUUUUGAAGGAAGAAGAGUUAAAUAGCAGACCCAAGUGAAAAACAAAAUGGAUAUGCAGGAUGACUCGAUGUGACUGAUAGUUACGUGAAAGAAAAAUAAAGAAUUCAGAUGUAAAAUAGAUGAAGGGAAGAAUCACAUUUGGUGAGGUAGUAAAUCUGUAAGCUUGUCUAUGCUGUGCAAUGCAUGCCAUUCUAGAGAGAAACAGAAAAGGAUCUGUAUAUCAGAAGAGCCAUACCAUGCAUAAAAUUGAAUGUUGGGUCUCCGAAGCAGUAGUUCU
ensembl:lncRNA